CUCUUCCUCCCUGCCACUUCUGUUCCUCUCCGGUGGUCGUGUUAACUCCAUGGUCCAUUCCAGGUAAAGGAAUCUGGAGUUCAGGAUUUCUGAAGCCUGGGGCUGGGAUGGGAUUAGCAGGUAACAGGCAAAGCGAGGACCACAUCACCGGCCCCGAGACCCUGCAAGGCCACCGCUGCAGGAAUCUAGAACACACGGCCUCUGCGUGAACCUGCGAGGACGCAAGCUUGCUUCUCCCGGGGAGGCUACGGAGAGUUCAGAACAGGACCCGUGACCUGCCUGGGUCAGACCCGGAAUGCUCUCCCUGUGAAACCAGAGAUUCUCACACACGAGGACUACCAACAAACCAAAUGGCGAUUUUAUACAAACCUUAAGAACUGUAUGAUCGUACAGGUGAAACGAAGUCUUGAAGUGUGAAAUCCUUUUGUCUGUGUGGCAGUGACAAACUUGGCUUGUGGAAAGACGACGUUGAGAAUGAAAUGUGAUGGACUGAGCGCCUGCAGCAUCCCUGCAUCCCACGUUCUCGGCCAUAAACUCCGUGUGAACUGAGAAAAGUCCCGGGGAGGAGUUCCUGGACUGUGGGUUCUGCGCCUGGACAGCCAGGGGCCCUGGCACUGUGCAUGCAGUAGAAAGACCAUGUACAGAUGACCGGGGCGGGGGUGCAGGGAGGACAGAGCCAGUGGGAAUAUCACCCAGGACUCAGCAAAUUAGGCGUUACUGUCAGGUGUGGAAGCGCCAUCUCUGGUUGGCCAAGCAGCAUUGAAGACUGGAGCUUAAUCCUCUUUUUCUGGGUCCAUCAAAGAGCUGGUGCCUUGUUCUAUGUAAAGGGUGGGAAGGGCUCCCCAGAUCCACUGGUGAGUUCUCACCUGUUCCAAUAUACGGGGCUGGUAGCCAGUUUUAAUUUUCUUUGUGGAGGUUGGAAUUUCUCAGGAUUUGCGUCCGAGAGUUGGGAGGCAACUCCUAUUUGUGCCAAAGCAGCAGAAUCCAUAGAGCAAGUGCAGAGCCCAGUGCAUACCACUGUGUGUGGUGUGCACCCACCCGAGCUCCCAUGAUGGAGAGCUGGGCUGUGACGCAGCCCUGUGUCGGGUGAGGCCAAGUGGGGUGAUGACUCAAUUGCAGUUCAGAAGUGUGUGGUGCCCGGACAUCUGGUGAACUCGGGAGGGCCCAGAGUGGCCUGUCCACAGGCUUGCCGCCCUGCUGUGCUCCUGCGGACGAGGUCUCCUAACUAAACCCACUGUUUAGCCAGGGACCAACGUGCGACUUUGGCUGGUCCUUGAAGAGCAGCUGUCCGUUUCCCACCAGCCAGCUGGAGACUGCGAUUGCUCUGACCCAGGGCCAGCGAGCCGUGGCUCUUCUCCUUGGUGCAGAGACCCAGGUGGCAUCACCGUUCUCAAGAAAGGGAUGACCCCUCUCCCAGGAGAACGAGCACACAUCAGAGGCAACAGAUGCUUACGAUUCUUGCAAUUGAGCCUCUGGCUUUGGUUCUUAGUCUACCUUCGCGUUAGGAUCAUCUAGGGGAGGGUGUAGAAAAUACGGCGGUCCCAGCCCCAGGCCAGGGCUAGUCUCACCUGGGGUGCAGGUGUUGGUAUUUUUUAAGAAUACGUAAAUCUGUGCAUCAGAAGCAUCUGGGGACUUUUAAAGCCGUUGUCUAGGCUGAUUAGAUUGCUAUUUCCUCUUCAGAUGGAAUAAUAGUUCUCGAAGACCAUCAAGUGAUUCCAGUGUAUGGCUGAAGUUCAAGUUCGCCGGAGCAGAGCCUGGUUGUUUGAACACAGGGAUAUUCUGUGUCAGUGUUGUUAUUGGUCUUCGAGUCUCUCCUGAGAAAGAUUAACAGGGGGCAGAUACCUUUGCUGGAAAAUUUCCUAUCCACAGACUCUUGGCUGCGGGCCCUGAAUUCUGUGUCUGCGGCCAUCCCAAACCAGCCACACAUACCCCAGGCUCCAGGGCUGCUUGACUGGUGAAGACUCUCUCAGCUGGACAAGGAUCAAAGCCAGCAUGGAUAAGAUCUCACUCUUGCUGCAGAAUGGCUUUGGAGGUAGCCUCAAACUACCUGACUCUCCCGCCUGUAUUGGGUGUCAUGAAUGGUAUGGAGUGGAUAUGGAGGGAGUGUGUCCUCAAGAGGUUCAUAUGUUGGAGGCCCGAUCCUCCAUGUGACAGUGGACAGCUGGCGGGUCCUUUAAGAGGUGAGCCUAGGGGAUGGUCCUUAGGUCAUUGGGGGUGUUACAGAUUGGCUGGGACUUGGCUCCCCUAAACUAAUGCUAUCUUUAAACCCUGCCUUCUUAAUGCUAAGGGUUGAUGGACUAAGGGUGCAGACUUGAUCUAACUGGAGUGUCUGGGAGGUGAGUCUGCUGGGAGGUGCUUGGGACAGUGGGGGCGUGCCCUCAGGGGGUGUUUCUUAUGAGAGGUGUGGUUAUUUUGGGCCAAGUUCAGCCUAGUCCCUCCACUCUGCUUGCUGACUCAGCAUGUGAUGGUCCCUGUGCACCCACUCCACCACUGCCAGCUUCCCCCAUAUGCCAGAGAGUGGGGCUGCCUGAUCCUGAACUGGGACCUCCAAACCGUCAAGCAAAAUAAGCUUUCCUUUCCCUUAGAGCUUCUCUCCGGUACUUCAAGUAAUGAAACACCUGACCCAUACGGGGCCAUGCCCUUGGAAGGAGGGAUUAAGUAGUUUCCCUGGGACCCCGAGUUAGCUCUCACAAGAGGGUGUCAGAAAACAAUAAAUUGACCAGCUCUUUGGCUUCCUUUCUGGCAAUGUGAUUUCUUCUCUGCCACCACUGUGAUGUCAUUCACCCCAGGCCCUCAUCAGAACUCAUGCCCGCACCGUGCCCUUGAACCUGCUGAGCUGUGUGCUAAGUUUGUAUCCUUUAUCAAGUUCCCCAGGCUCAGGUAGUUCGUUACAGUAAUAACAAAUGGACUAAUUCAAUGUGUUGGUGUUACUGCAUGAGAUUCCGUGGGCGCUGCCCCCUGCAGUUGUACAAAAAGUGACCCUAAGGUGUGCAAUUCAUGCCAAAGCAAGGAAUCAAAGUCUGAUUUAGCUUGUGCAGAGUGGAAGGACAUAGACCAUCCGUGACCUUUGGGCAGACCCCAAAGCAGGCAGUCACAUGACAAACAGAAUGGACGAGGCCUGUGGGGUCAGAAUGGCUUGCACAUUAUCGAGCAUAGACCACGUAGUUUACAUACAAACUGAGAUUUGCUAAGUUCUGAUGGCUUCCAUCCAAACCAGCUCAGACUGGCCAUGGGGGCUCCAGGAAGAGCACAAUGCACACUCCAUUCCCGGCUCUCAGGCCAAAGUGGGCCUUUGUGAAACACUGCAGGGAGGCCGGCCCUGGGUGCCACAGAAUGAGUUGGAGAAACUCUACUUGCCCAUGACAUCAACGGGCCCUCAGGCCUCUUCCUUCCAUCUGGCUGCCCCGUUGUGUCAUCCCACCCAGAGAGCUUCGGUGAGAAUUGGGCGGAGGACGCACAGCCCCCAGCAGUCACAGCUGCUGGAGUCCCGGAAGCCAUGCACAUGUCCCAGAGAUCGCCAGCUCCCCUGGCAGCUGUCCCAGGGACACAGCCCUGAGGAUAAAAUGUGUCUGAAGUCCCAGUGCUGCCACUCCUCGCCCUGAAUGUCUUCCUCCUCUCCUCUCUACCCAGAUCCCAGGGAGAUGCCAGGCUGGCUGACUUUUCAGAGCUGACUCAGCAAAUGGACUGACACUGACGCUGGAUAUCCAGUAGCAGGAUUGGCAGCCUUCCCUGGGAUGCAGGCAGCCUCAGCUUUUAUCUCUAGCCUGGAGCAGUCAGAGGCCCUGGACAAGCCUGACUCAAGAUCGGUCAUCAGUCACCUGAUAAGAGGCCCUGUCUCUGCCGCCUUGAUGGACCCAGCAUCUCCCACCUGCCUUCCUCAUUCGUUAUUCUCCCACGCUUACAGUGAAAUUGAAGUUAUCUGUGAGGCCAGACAUCCUGUCCCAGUCUUCCCCUGUGUCCACUGAUUUAUCACACAUUGGAUAAUUAUGUGUUGGAUGAGUGGAAACAUGGCUAUUAUUCCGUGUAGGGAAAGAUUACGGGAGUCUCUUAAGUAAAUAUUAGCACACAAGCAGGGACUGUUCUGGGUGAGAACAUCAGGUUACACAGCUGGCACCAGACGUCUCCGUGGUCCUUGUUGUGAGCCGGGAAGCUGCCAUGUGGUGCUGACAGGGAAGUUUCUAGAAGCCACGUGGCUCUGAAAGCAUGAGACGCACAGACCCACGGAGAUCUGCCGCUUCGGGGAGCUUCUGUUCUGGCCCGUGGGGAGACUGACUGUAAGGGCCACUGCGGCUUGCUGCUGCGCCCGUAAACAAGGGCCCUCUGGAGGAGCCAAAGGCGGUAUCGAAGUAGAAAUUUUCCCAAGUCAGCCCCUCUCGUGAGACGCAACACCGUCUUCCUCCCCAGAAGCGCUGUGCUCCUGAGGGGUGACUGUUCCCUCUCUGAAAGAAUUCUGGGUGUCUGUGUACACUCUCCUGGAUGUGAAGGACCAGAAAGGAAUGUGCUUUUUGUUGCCUGUGUCUUGAAAUGGUACGAUUUCAUACACGCCCCAGGAUACACUGUCUAUUGUCCAGGGUCAUCUGAAUGACUGUGAGCGAGCUUUUGCUCCUUCAGGUUUCAUUACAGUUGGAUAGUAGGAAAACUACUUCUCUACAUGUGGGUUUGAGUGGAAGAUGAUCCUUCACCUUGUUAUGCAUGUGUUUAUGUGUUCCAUAAGCAUUGCUUUUCCAACUUUGGCCCCCUUAAAGCACCUGCAUCUAUUGCCGAAGCAUAGCCCUAAGAUCUAAUCAUCUCCAUAGCAAAUGGCUGAAUGUUCAAGGACCUACGUAUAGUGUUGCAUGUAAAGUAGCAACCCUGAAGGUGCAAACUGAAAAAAAGUGGGGCACUGGGGAGAUGGAGGCUGAAUUACAGUUACUGAAUUGAAAGGCCAUAAGAUAAGAUGUGGUGCAUGGAGAAUAAGGCAUGUGAUGCGGCUUUGCAGAAAGUUAUAUAAUAACCCCCUUUCGCCUGUGAUAUAUUCUGGGAGAUGGAGUAGAAACCCUUUCUGAAAGAGGAAAGUUCCAAGUGUAUGGUGAACCUGUUUCUAUUUUGUGAGUCUGGCCUUUCCAACUUCCUCCCAAAUAUUUCUACCUGGAUGUUCCACUGCCAGCUCAAAACCAAGGUGUCUGAAUGAGAAACCAUCUUCCUCUUGCUCCUCUUCUAGACUUCAACAACAGUAAAAUCGUCUUUAGAACCUCUUUCUUGUCUCUUGUGCUUCUUGCCUAUGUCCUGGAGAGUUUCCUUCAUGAUAUCUCACACGUUUAUCAUUUUUUUCCAUUCCCAUCAAUUCCACUCUAGGCUGACUCCUUAUACCAAGACCAUCCAAUCAACCCACACUCAGUGCAUCUCAGCUGGGUGUCAGACCCUUGGCAGCACACUCAGGAAGCCAGGGAAGGGGUGAAGAGGGGCCAGAUCAGUGCACAUUCAGGAAGGGCUGAUACCUGACUGAUCACUUAAGUUGAAUAUAG